rnacentral:rRNA from 1 species
AUUGAACGCUGGCGGCAGGCCUAACACAUGCAAGUCGAGCGAGCGGCGGACGGGUGAGUAAUGUCUGGGAAACUGCCUGAUGGAGGGGGAUAACUACUGGAAACGGUAGCUAAUACCGCAUACCAUCAGAUGUGCCCAUAUGGGAUUAGCUUGUAGGUGGGGUAACGGCUCACCUAGGCGACGAUCCCUAGCUGGUCUGAGAGGAUGAUCAGCCACACUGGAACUGAGACACGGUCCAGACUCCUACGUGAGGCAGCAGUGGGGAAUAUUGCACAAUGGGCCCAAGCCUGAUGCAGCCAUGCCGCGUGUGUGAAGAAGGCCUUCGGGUUGUAAAGUACUUUCAGCGAGGAGGCGUUACUCGCAGAAGAAGCACCGGCUAACUCCGUGCCAGCAGCCGCGGUAAUUC